CCUACGGGUGGCAGCAGUGAGGAAUAUUGGUCAAUGGGCGCAAGCCUGAACCAGCCAAGUCGCGUGAGGGAUGACGGUCCUAUGGAUUGUAAACCUCUUUUGUCGGGGAGCAAGGCCCGCCACGUGUGGCGGGAAGGAGAGUACCCGAAGAAAAAGCAGCGGCGAACUCCGUGCCAGCAGCCGCGGUAAUACGGAGGAUGCGAGCGUUAGCGGGAUUUAUUGGGUUUAACGGGUGCGUAGGCGGAAGGUUAAGUCAGCGGUCAACUGUCGGGGCUCAACACCGGCCUGCCGUUGAAACUGGUCUUCUUGAGUGAGCGAGAAGUAUGCUGAAUGCGUGGUGUAGCGGUGACAUGCAUCGAUCUCACGCAGAACUCCGAUUGCGAAGGCAGCAUACCGGCGCUCACCUGACGCUGAGGCACGAAAGCGUGGGGAUCGAACAGGAUUAGAUACCCGUGUAGUC
rnacentral:rRNA from 1 species